rnacentral:tRNA from 1 species
GGGCGCAUAGUUCAGAGGUCAGAAUAUCGGUUCCGCAAGCCGCAGACACGGGUUCGACUCCCGUUGUGUCCACCA